rnacentral:rRNA from 1 species
AACGAACGCUGGCGGCAGGCUUAACACAUGCAAGUCGAACGCCCCGCAAGGGGAGUGGCGCACGGGUGAGUAACGCGUGGGAAUAUGCCCUUCGGUUCGGAAUAACACAGGGAAACUCGUGCUAAUACCGGAUACGAUCUACGGAUGAAAGAUUUAUCGCCGAGGGAGUAGCCCGCGUAGGAUUAGCUAGUUGGUGAGGUAAUGGCUCACCAAGGCGACGAUCCUUAGCUGGUCUGAGAGGAUGAUCAGCCACACUGGGACUGAGACACGGCCCAGACUCCUACGGGAGGCAGCAGUGGGGAAUAUUGGACAAUGGGCGAAAGCCUGAUCCAGCCAUGCCGCGUGAGUGAUGAAGGCCUUAGGGUUGUAAGCUCUUUACCCGAGAUGAUAAUGACAGUAUCGGGAGAAUAAGCUCCGGCUAACUCCGUGCCAGCAGCCGCGGUAA